UAUGAAGACAACCUAGAAAAGAUGUUGAAGAGAGCCAAGCUAGAUGCCUCCUUGCAUUUUUGCUAAUGUGUGUUGCCUCUAGAAAGGUACCUAUCCUAUAGAAUAUUCCAGCCAGAAGGUUUUGCUGACUUGAACUGAGGAAGAUCAGUUAUUACUCAGAAGCCAUUUUGUUCACAUGAAGGUUAAGCAAACAGCAAAUCAGACAGAUUUUUAUACUCUGUGAUCCAUGGAGUCAUCCGAUAAAGAAGCAAAAAAUAAUAUAACCUGAGAUAUAAGUCAUCUCAUAAGGAAGCAGAAAUAAUAUUAUAAUUUAGGCAGUUGAUGAUCUAGCUUUGAUUAAUCAGCAGUUAGU